AAUAAGAAAAGAAAAGUAAUUUGUACCGGUGGAAUGAAUCGAAUGUAUUUUAUUUCUGAUGCUUGUAAACGAGUAUCUGGAAAUAGCAAAAGAAUUUAUACAUGGAAAACUCGCACGUUCUAAAAUUAUCUGUGCUCCGUCAUAGCUUAAACAUGUAAAUGAAAGUAAUUGUUCAAAUUACUAGUGCAAUUAAUUUUAUUUUCAUAGCCUGUUCGUCGAAAGUCCACGAAGAUCUUGCUAAAGAUACAAAAAUUGUAAAAGUAGAGAAUUUGUGACAUAUUUGAUCAUUUGAGUGGAUGGAUUAGUACAAAUUGAAAUGUCACGUUUUCAUGGCGUUGUCCACUCUUUAAUCAAGGAUAUUCCUGGAAAUAAUCGAGGCUCCCGAUUGCAAAUUACUGGCUGGCGAAAAAGAGAGCGAUCUAGGGUUGUCUAAGAUUAGAGAGAUUCCUCGUACCCAAGGGAAAGGAGCAAAAUAUUUUUUGAGAGAUGAGGACGAUGCGUUCUUUUCGAUUGGGAAUAUAUUAAUAGAAUAUAACGAUACAUCUAACAGAUCACAAACAAAAUAAAGGCAUCGAUGAAAGACGUGAUGCAGCCUGUAAGGCGCAUUUUUCUCAAGAAGUUCAGGAACAGAAAAUGAAUAAAACGAUGAAGUAAAAAUCCAAUGGAAAGACUUUCGUCCCCCAUGUUUAAAAUUAACAUUACUUAAAAAAUAAAGUCGGUCACUGUGAUAAAAUAAUAAUACGUAAAUGGAAUUUACCGAAUAAUAAAUCUGAAAUAUAUGUACAAGUUAAAAGUGACUCAGCCUUCGCUGUUGAGAUAUUUAAGGACACUUCCCAACUUGCUAAAUUAAUUCUGAUGAGCGAUGUGAAUUUUGCUAACAAAGUACAAUUACUAUAAUCCUCAAAUAUUCCUUUGGAAGGAAGGUGGAAAAUCUACAAUGGAAUUUUUGUAUGAAUUAUUUUGGACUAUAAGCUUUGUAAAUUCGACCAAUCGCGGGGAGACGCAAUCGCGAAGAAACACGUCAACGGGAGUCGUAAAUUCCCGUUAGGAUUCUACGAAUCGACGCCGCGAGUAGAUCGAUCCCCUGAUUUCCGUUAUGAUAUAACUCCGUGAUUAACAGUGUUAUAAAUUAUGUAUUUUCCAACAACUUAGUAGAAUCACACACUUUAGUAACGUCGCUGAGUAUGAGAACUGCCUUCAUUGAUACCUCCUUGAUCUUGAUCGGAUUUUGACUGACAAUCUGAUAGAUGAAGGCCCUCGUGUUGUAAUAGACGUAGCGAUUGAUCAGACCCGACUUUGAGUGAACCGACUCAUCAGAAUCAAUCGAAUGAUCGAAUGACUAAAAUCGAAUGUAAAAUUAUAAAUAACUAGAGGAGAAAAGAACAAAGAUAUCCUGCACAUGGGAUGAGCAUAAGAAGAAAUUCUGACUGGGAAUCUAAAAUUUUGUAUCUAAUAAAACGUGCAGGAUAUCUGUGCGUAACAGUAAUAUUAUUGAAUUUAAAAUCAAUCCUGCACUGAAAUCUCUCGAUGAUAAUAAAUAAGUGUCAAGAAAAUGCAGUAUCGGGGUACUUAUAAAACGUAUUACGUACCUGAGUUAUUUGCGCCCUGGUGGCAAAAAUAGGAAUUAAAAUUUUAAAUCACAUCAUCUCGCGCGCUGUCAUGUUGAAAGGUGGCAGCAUGAAUUCGUGAACAAUAUGAAAAUUUAACGUACAUCGGCAUGUCAGUGCUUUAGAAUGGUGGAUAUCAAAAUAAAUUUCAAGAAAUUUCAAGAAUGGUAUCCGGGUACUGAUAGAAUAUAAUACGUUCCUGAGCUUGGAUACGUAACAAGCGCAUUCUGGUGGUAUGUUUUUAAACUAAAAUUCAAAGUUACACCAUUUCGCGCGGUAUCGUAUUUUGAGUAAGAUAUUAUGCAGAAUGAGUUUAAAAGUUAUCAUUGUCUUUUUGAAGUAUAGAAGAUAGUAGUUAAGUGCAGAAGUGUUACCAUAAACAAUUAUAUUAUUAGACAUAUUCAUAUUACAAUUGUAAGAUAUCAUCGCCUGUUAUUAUGCACAAUUUCAUAGUAAAAUUAAUAUGUAAUAAAAUGUAGUAAAAUAGCUAGGAAGGCUGCAUUUGUGUCUUAUUUAUAAUUAAUAGUUAGUAGCAUUUAAUCAAGAUCUUAGUAUUUCAUUGGAUAUUUAACACAUUGACAAAUUCUUUGUAAGGAUAAUUCUUUGCAAGAUAUAUUUCUCUAUUUUACAUUUUACAUUCUUUAACUGUUAGCUAUUCUACAAUUCUCUUGACACUUUAUGAAACAGUUUCUCGCAUAGAUCCAUAUGAUUAGUUUAAAAUUUUAUUUUAAGAUUAGUUUCCCGCGUCGAUUUUCCUUAAAUCUUCUUUUAUUGUGUGUUUUGUAUAACGAUCUAAAAGUCGAAUAAUUUCCAAACGCAUAUUAAGAGGACGAUUUGUUUAUUCAUUAAUAUUUCAAGUUCAGUUUAAAGGCUUGUUCAUAAGAGUAAGAUAGAUGGUAUCGUGGAUCCUUCCAUUCUCCUCCAUUUGCAGUACCUUUACAUGAUGAUAC
rnacentral:lncRNA from 1 species